UACGUAGGGGGCGAGCGUUGUCCGGAAUUAUUGGGCGUAAAGAGCUCGUAGGCGGCUUGUCGCGUCGUCCGUGAAAACCCACAGCUCAACUGUGGGCUUGCGGUCGAUACGGGCAGGCUAGAGUUCGGUAGGGGAGACUGGAAUUCCUGGUGUAGCGGUGAAAUGCGCAGAUAUCAGGAGGAACACCGGUGGCGAAGGCGGGUCUCUGGGCAAUAACUGACGCUGAGGAGCGAAAGCGUGGGGAGCGAACAGG
rnacentral:rRNA from 1 species